UACGUAGGUGGCAAGCGUUAUCCGGAUUUAUUGGGCGUAAAGGGAACGCAGGCGGUCUUUUAAGUCUGAUGUGAAAGCCUUCGGCUUAACCGGAGUAGUGCAUUGGAAACUGGGAGACUUGAGUGCAGAAGAGGAGAGUGGAACUCCAUGUGUAGCGGUGAAAUGCGUAGAUAUACGGAAGAACACCAGUGGCGAAAGCGGCUCUCUGGUCUGUAACUGACGCUGAGGCUCGAAAGCGUGGGGAGCAAACAGG
rnacentral:rRNA from 1 species